CAGUAGCCGCGGGAAUACGUAGGGUGCGAGCGUUAAUCGGAAUUACUGGGCGUAAAGCGUGCGCAGGCGGUUCGUUAAGACAGAUGUGAAAUCCCCGGGCUUAACCUGGGAACUGCAUUUGUGACUGGCGAGCUAGAGUAUGGCAGAGGGGGGUAGAAUUCCACGUGUAGCAGUGAAAUGCGUAGAGAUGUGGAGGAAUACCGAUGGCGAAGGCAGCCCCCUGGGCCAAUACUGACGCUCAUGCACGAAAGCGUGGGGAGCAAACAGGAUUAGAUACCCCCGUAGUCCCUGUCUCUUAUAA
rnacentral:rRNA from 1 species